GAACGCUGGCGGCGUGCUUAACACAUGCAAGUCGAACGCGAAAGGGACUUCGGUCCUGAGUAAAGUGGCGCACGGGUGAGUAACGCGUGGAUAAUCUGCCCUUAUGAUCGGGAUAACAGUUGGAAACGGCUGCUAAUACCGGAUACGCUCAAGAUGAACUUUUUGAGGAAAGAUGGCCUCUGCUUGCAUGCUAUCGCAUAGGGAUGAGUCCGCGUCCCAUUAGCUUGUUGGCGGGGUAACGGCCCACCAAGGCAACGAUGGGUAGCCGAUUUGAGAGGAUGAUCGGCCACACUGGAACUGAAACACGGUCCAGACUCCUACGGGAGGCAGCAGUGGGGAAUAUUGCGCAAUGGGCGAAAGCCUGACGCAGCGACGCCGCGUGAGGGAUGAAAGGUUUUCGGAUCGUAAACCUCUGUCAGAAGGGAAGAAACUACGUUGUGCUAAUCAGCAGCGUACUGACGGUACCUUCAAAGGAAGCACCGGCUAACUCCGUGCCAGCAGCAGC
rnacentral:rRNA from 1 species